UCAAAACGUAAACGCAAACUGAAAUAUGAUGUUCGUAUGAUAAAAACGAUUUACGUCUCAACGCCGAUUCGGAAAAUGCAGAGCUUGAAACACGAUCGUAUAUGCGCAGAAGGCAGUAAGCUAUUGAGGAGGUUUGCAGUAAGGAUAAGAUGCUCAAAGUAAAUGCAAACCGAGAUUUAGAGUGGUUCGGUCAAUCUUGACCUACUCCACUUUUGGCUUCCUCCACCGAAGAGGUCACCGACGUCAACUAGAGGCCUUCCUUCAAUAGGCGAAGGCCAACCACCCUUUUAAAGUUUCACUCCUUUUGACGGGCUUAGGAGACAACCCUUACAGAAUUU
rnacentral:lncRNA from 1 species